CUCCUGAAGUCACCUUUACAAGGAGAUCACCUCUCUCCCAUCGUGGAAAAGGUGACGUCAAAACCUUUGCCACCAUUACAAGACGUGUGCAAGCAUCAGCUAGAUGAUGGUUCUAAUGCAGCAAUGGAUGAGGAAUGCAUGAGGAAGCAAAAGAAAAAGGCAAAAGACACAAGAAAAAGAAACAUACAGGCUGAAAAAAGGAAAUACAACGAGGUAAAAAGAUUGGAAAUGGACCGGGACACAACGGAGAAAGAGAAAGAGAAGAUGGUUGAAGAAAAAAAGAAAGCCGAGCUGAUUAGGAGACUGGAGGAGGAGAGACUGAAGGCUUUGGCACAAGUGAAAGAAACGUUGAAAGCAAAAAAAGCUAUUCGAAUGUAAACACUAUCGGAAGGGCCAUCUUCCGAAUAAGAUAAUCAGAGACCUAAGACAAAUGUCAUCAUUCCAGAUACUCACAGUAUUGUAUUUGAUCUUCUUUCACUAUUUUUGACAAUUUGCCUUGAAGACACCCCACA
ensembl:lncRNA